rnacentral:rRNA from 1 species
CGGCGGACGGGUGAGUAACACGUGGAUAACCUACCUAUAAGGACUGGGAUAACUUCGGGAAACCGGAGCUAAUACCGGAUAAUAUUUUGAACCGCAUGGUUCAAAGUAAAAGACGGUCUUGCUGUCACUUAUAGAUGGAUCCGCGCUGCAUUAGCUAGUUGGUAAGGUAACGGCUUACCAAGGCAACGAUGCAUAGCCGACCUGAGAGGGUGAUCGGCCACACUGGAACUGAGACACGGUCCAG